rnacentral:rRNA from 1 species
UACGGGGGGGGCAAGCGUUGUUCGGAAUUACUGGGCGUAAAGGGCUCGUAGGCGGCCAACUAAGUCAGACGUGAAAUCCCUCGGCUUAACCGGGGAACUGCGUCUGAUACUGGAUGGCUUGAGGUUGGGAGAGGGAUGCGGAAUUCCAGGUGUAGCGGUGAAAUGCGUAGAUAUCUGGAGGAACACCGGUGGCGAAGGCGGCAUCCUGGACCAAUUCUGACGCUGAGGCGCGAAAGCCAGGGGAGCAAACGGG